rnacentral:rRNA from 1 species
CGAACGGGUGAGUAACGCGUGAGGAACCUGCCUCAAAGGGGGGACAACAGUUGGAAACGACUGCUAAUACCGCAUAAGCCCACGGGUCGGCAUCGACCAGAGGGAAAAGGAGCAAUCCGCUUUGAGAUGGCCUCGCGUCCGAUUAGCUAGUUGGUGAGGUAAUGGCCCACCAAGGCAACGAUCGGUAGCCGGACUGAGAGGUUGAACGGCCACAUUGGGACUGAGACACGGCCCAG